GACAGCAUGAUGUAGUGGUUUGAGUAUUGGACUAAGGCUCUGGAGAUCAGGGUUCAAAUCCCUGCUCAGUCA